CAUUCUGUAGCAAUACAGGGUGUGGGCGCGUGGCGAACGGGUGCGUAACACGUGGAUAACCUUCCUUCAGGUGGGGAAUAACCCAGUGAAAAUUGGGCUAAUACCGCAUAACAUGACGAUGGCACAUGCUGUUGUCUUCAAAGGCGCAAGUCGCCAGAAGAGGGAUCCGCGGCCGAUUAGCUUGUUGGCGAGGUAAUGGCUCACCAAGGCAUUGAUCGGUAGCCGGACUGAGAGGUUGACCGGCCACACUGGAACUGAGACACGGUCCAGACUCCUACGGGAGGCAGCAGUGGGGAAUCUUGCACAAUGGACGAAAGUCUGAUGCAGCAACGCCGCGUGGGGGAUGAAGCUUCUCGGAGUGUAAACCCCUUUCGACCCGGAAGAAUGCCCGCAAGGGCUUGACGGUACGGGUAUAAGAAGCCCCGGCUAACUACGUGCCAGCAGCCGCGGUAAUACGUAGGGGGCCAGCGUUGCUCGGAAUUACUGGGCGUAAAGGGUCCGUAGGCGGUGCGGCAAGUCGAGAGUGAAAUCCCUAGGCUUAACCUAGGGGCUGCUAGCGAAACUGCCGUGCUAGAGUGUGAGAGAGGCGAGUGGAAUUACGGGUGUAGCGGUGAAAUGCGUAGAUAUCCGUAGGAACAUCCGAGGCGAAAGCGGCUCGCUGGAUCACAACUGACGCUGAGAGACGAAAGCUAGGGGAGCAAACAGGAUUAGAUACCCUGGUAGUCCUAGCCCUAAACCAUCAGGACUUGGGGUUUGCCCUGUACGGGGCAAGUCCCGUAGCUAACGCGUUAAGUCCUGCGCCUGGGGAGUAC
rnacentral:rRNA from 1 species